AGAGUUUGAUCCUGGCUCAGGACGAACGCUGGCGGCGUGCUUAACACAUGCAAGUCGAACGGUGAAGCCCUUCGGGGUGGAUCAGUGGCGAACGGGUGAGUAACACGUGGGCAAUCUGCCCUGCACUUCGGGACAAGCCUUGGAAACGAGGUCUAAUACCGGAUACGACCCUGGACCGCAUGGUCCGGGGUGGAAAGCUC
rnacentral:rRNA from 1 species